GAUGAACGCUGGCGGCGUGCCUAAUACAUGCAAGUCGAGCGAACAGACGAUGAGCUUGUGCCUCUAACGUUAGCGGCGGACGGGUGAGUAACGCGUGGAUAACCUACUUCUAUUUCUGGGAUAACUACGUAAAACCGGAUCCAAUACCGGAUAAUAUAUUGUACCGCAUGGUGCAAUAGUGAAUUACGGCUUUGGCGGCACUAAUAGACGCAUCCGCGCCGCAUUAGCUAGUUGGUAGGGUAACGGCUUACCAAGGCUACGAUGCGUAGCCGACCUGAGAGGGUGAUCAGCCACACUGGAACGGAGACACGGUCCAGACUCCUACGGGAGGCCGCAGUAGGGAAUAUUCGGCAAUGGGCGAAAGCCUGACGGAGCAACGCCGCGUGGGUGAUGAAGGCCUUCGGAUCGUAAAGCCCUGUUAUUGGGGAAGAACAAAUGUGUAUGAAUACAUGGCUGUAUUGACGGUACCUAAUAAAAAAGCACCGGCUAACUACGUG
rnacentral:rRNA from 1 species